rnacentral:rRNA from 1 species
UACAGAGGUCUCAAGCGUUAAUCGGAAUUACUGGGCUUAAAGGGUGCGUAGGCGGUUCCGUAAGUACCUUGUGAAAUCCCAUGGCUUAACCAUGGAAUUGCUCGGUAGACUGCGGGGCUUGAGGUCAGUAGGGGUCGCUGGAACUCUAGGUGGAGCGGUGAAAUGCGUAGAUAUCUAGAGGAACGCCAAAGGUGAAGACAGGCGACUGGGCUGAAUCUGACGCUGAGGCACGAAAGCGUGGGUAGCGAAC